rnacentral:rRNA from 1 species
AAAGCCUGGAGCUUACUCCAGAUAUGGGGUAGAUACUGUAUAGCUAGAGUGACGGAGGGGGAGAUGGAAUUGUCGGUGGAGCAGUGAAAUGCGUUGAUAUCGACAAGAACACCAAAGGCGAAGGCAGUCUCCUGGUCGUCUACUGACGCUCAUGCACGAAAGCUAGGGGAGCGAAGCAGAUUAGAGACCUGCGUAGUCCUAGCCGUAAACGAUGGACACUAGAUAGUAGAUUUUUAUUUACUGUCGUCAAGCUAACGCGUUAAGUGUCCCGCCUGGGGAGUACGGUCGCAAGACUAAAACUCAAAGGAAUUGACGGGGAACCGCACAAGCAGUGGAGCAUGUGGUUUAAUUCGAGACGAAGCGAAAAACCUCACCAGGGUUUGACAUUCUUCUGCAAGCGCACGGAAACGUGUGACCUUCGAGGGUGAAGAACCGGUGCUGCAUGGCUGUCGUCAGCUCGUAUCGUGAGACGUUUGCUUAAGUGCAAUAACGAGCGCAACCCCUACUGUAUGUUAGCUUGUCAUACAGAACUGCCUGUUUAUCAAACGGGAGGAAGGCGGGGAUGACGUCAAGUCAGCAUGGCCCUUAUGCCCUGGGCAACACACAUCCUACAAUGGCGAACAACAACGGGUUGCAACACGGCGACGUGAAGCUAAUCCCUGAAAUUUCGCCUCAGUUCAGAUCGGAGUCUGCAACUCGACUCCGUGAAGUCGGAAUUGCUAGUAAUCGCGGAUCAGCAGGCCGCGGUGAAUACGUUCUCGGUUCUUGUACACACCGCCCGUCAAGUAGGGAAAGUUGGGGGUACCCGAAGACGUGUCUCUAACCCAUUUGGGAGGAGCACGGCGAAGGUAACACCAGCGAUCAAUGCUAAGUCGUAACAAGGUAA